CACGUAGGGGGGCGAGCGUUGUCCGGAUUUAUUGGGCGUAAAGAGCUCGUAGGCGGCUCAGUAAGUCGGGUGUGAAAACUCCAGGCUCAACCUGGAGACGCCACCUGAUACUGCUGUGGCUAGAGUCCGGUAGGGGAGCAUGGAAUUCCUGGUGUAGCGGUGAAAUGCGCAGAUAUCAGGAGGAACACCAGUGGCGAAGGCGGUGCUCUGGGCCGGAACUGACGCUGAGGAGCGAAAGCGUGGGGAGCGAACAGG
rnacentral:rRNA from 1 species